rnacentral:rRNA from 1 species
UACGAAGGGGGCUAGCGUUGUUCGGAAUUACUGGGCGUAAAGCGCGCGCAGGCGGUCUGCCAAGUCAGAGGUGAAAGCCCCGAGCUCAACUCGGGAACUGCCUUUGAAACUGGUAGACUAGGGUUCGGGAGAGGUGAGUGGAAUUCCGAGUGUAGAGGUGAAAUUCGUAGAUAUUCGGAAGAACACCAGUGGCGAAGGCGGCUCACUGGCCCGAUACCGACGCUCAGGCGCGAUAGCGUGGGGAGCAAACAGG